UAAUACGCGACGGGGUAUUGUAAGUGGCAGAGUGGCCUUGCUGCCACGAUCCACUGAGAUUCAGCCCUUCGUCGCUCCGAUUCGU
rnacentral:ncRNA from 1 species